GCCGAGCCGGGCAUGUCGUCCAGGGACCGCCGCACCGCCUGCAGCGCUAGGAAGUCCACCGGGUCGAGGAUCCCCGCCGCCGGCCGCGGCGCCACCGCCACGGCCGCCAAGACGACGCACGCCACGACCGCGCCGAGCCGCGCGGUCACCGCCAUUGCCGCUCCUCUCUGCUUUCGGUUUCGCGCGCGCGCGACGGCUCUGGCCUCUGUGUCACCUCCUCUGCAGCUGCAACAAGAAGGAACAGAUCAAAAGCACCGAUCAACCGCGUCGUGGCGCAAAGAGCAGCGCGAGCGAGCG
rnacentral:misc_RNA from 1 species